UGACCUAGUAUCAGGUAGGAAUACCCGCUGAACUUAAGCAUAUCAAUAAGCGGAGGA
rnacentral:rRNA from 1 species